ensembl:lncRNA LINC-PINT long intergenic non-protein coding RNA, p53 induced transcript
GGGCACAGGCUCGGGAUCCCUCGCAGCGCUAGGGGCCGCAGCCCCGGUCGCCGGGGAGUGCCAUGGCAGGGAGGCGGCAGCCACGUGAGGGGUCUGCGGAAGCGCCGGAGCUGAAAGCUGGGGGCGAAAUUGACAGAAUUAAAAAUUUGACAAGCCCCAUCAGUGGUUCAUUUAAGUGUUUUGGUAUACAGGCAUUUUAUUAAUGCUUUUACGAGUUAGAAGAGUUGGGAUAAUUUGCCAUCUGGAGUUUCUCUGCCUUGCUGAUCUGAGCUCAGACCUGCCAAUUUACCAGAGAUAAUUGAUAACACCCUGUAACAGCUGAAGACAGAGUCUUACCCUGUCACCCAGGCUGGAGUACAAUGGUGCGAUCUCGGCUCACUGCAACCUCUGCCUCCUGGGUUCAAGUGAUUCUUCUGCCUCAGCCUCCUGAGUAGCUGGGACUACAGGAGGAAAAUGGAAGAAACGGAGAUACUUUUAGUGAAGCAGAAUAAACCACUGAACAGGAAAAAUGAGGAAGCUGUGAGUACCAGUGGAAGGAACGAGCCAGGAAGAGGGACUGGAACCAUCUCAGAAGCCAUGCCCCUCAGGCUGGAACUUGCCCUGUCUCCUCGCAGAUGAGCUACCUCUUGUGUUUAAGAAUUAAAGGAAGAUGAGCUAGGAAUCAAGAAAUACGCAGAACUGAUUCCUGUCACUGGCGCCACCCUGCCACUUGCCCAGAGCUGUGGUAUAAAUUUUUUUAAUAGGCUGAAAUAAAAAUAUGAAUAGCAUUUUGGUAUUAAGCAUUAAAUUGAUAAAGGCUAUGAGAUACACCUGCUCUCAACCAUGUUAAUUUUUUAUUAUUGGUAUUAAUAAAUUAUUACUUACUAACAUAUUAACAAGAAUUGCAUUGAGAAACAAAGCAUCCACAGGCCAAAUCUUCUGAAUUUCAAAUGUUUAUAUUAAUGCGUUGUAUUCUAGAAAAGUAGAAUUGUCUUAAGUAGCUUUGUAAUAUAAAGUCAUCUA